rnacentral:lncRNA from 1 species
CAAAUUUUCUUUACCUUUGACUUCAAAGCCUUUGGGUUGCUCCAUGUAUAUCUCCUCUUCUAAAUUGCCAUGGAGAAAUUCAGUUUUAAUGUCUAACUGCUCGAGCUCAAGAUCCAUGCUUGCUACCAUACCAAGGAUAACUCGAAUGGAAGUCAUCUUCACCACCAGUGAGAAAAUCUCAUCAAAGUCAACUCCUUUCUUUUGACCAAAACCUUUGACAACCAAAUGAGCCUUGUACAUUGUCAUGUUGUCGUCCCUUUUCAAUUUGAACACCCACUUGUUUUUCAAUGCUUUUCUGCCCUUUGGAAGCUCCACUAGCUCAUAAGUAUCAUUCUUUAAUAAGGAAUCCAUCUCUGACUCCAUUGCCUUCAUCCAUUUAUCACUGUCGUUAUAAGCUCUGGCCUCCUCAUAAGUUUCGGGUUCUCCAUAAUUAGUCAACAUGAUAUACUCUGAUGAAGAAUACUUGGUAGAUGGUAUUCGACUUCUGCUGAAUCUUCUGACCUGGUCUUCAUUCUCUUGCGGGGCUAGAGGCUCCCCUUGAUUGGGUUUUCCUUGAAUCUGCUAUUCUUGACUAGGCUCCUCCUGAUCAGCAAUCUCAUGGUCUGGCUCAUCUUGAUCAGGCUCUCCCUGAUCAGCAUUAUCUGGUUCUGCAGGCACUUCAUUUGCAGCUGCUUCAGGGAUGUCAUCGUGACUUUCUUCAUUUGAAGCUAAUGGAUCAACUCCUCUGACUACGCCAUCUAGUUGUGCCUCUUCAUCCGAAUCCCCAAUUGUUUGAUCUUCAUAAAAGACCACGUCUCUACUUCGGAUAAACUUCUUCUGGUAUGGGUCCCAUAAUCUGUAACCAAAAUCUUCACCGCCAUAACCAAGAAAGAUGCACGGUGUAGCUUUGUAGUCUAACUUCGAUCUCUGCUCUUUGGGCACAUGCACAAAAGCUUUGCAACCAAACACCUUCAAAUAAGAGUCACAUCAUUACCAGUCCAUACUCUCUCUGGAACAUCAAGACCUAAUGGUACUGAUGGAGAUCGAUUGAUCAAAUAGUAGGUUGUCCUUAUAGCUUCACCUCAGAACUGCUUAGAUAACUUUGCAGUCCUUAGCAUACACCUGACUUUCUCCAUGAUGGUUCAGUUCAUUCUUUCAGUAACACCGUUAUGUUGUGGAGUUCCAGGAACUAUCUUCUCAUGACAUAUGCCAUGUUUCACACAAUACUCUCUAAACUGGUGAGAUGUGUACUCGCCGCCGUUGUCGCUACGAAGGCACUUGAGAGGUUUCCCAAUUUCCCUCUCCACCAUGGCAUGAAACUCCUGGAAUGUUUGAAACACCUGGUCUUUGGAUUUCAACAAAUACACCCAGACCUUUUGUGAAGCAUCAUCAAUAUACGUAACAAAAUAUUUAUUUCUUCCAAGUGACUCGACUUCCAUGGGACCACACACAUCUGAAUAAACAAGAUCUAACAAAUUUCCUUUCUUUGUAGAUGGAACAGAAAAACUAAUUCUUCUUUGUUUUCCAAAUAAACAAUGCUCACAAGAGUUUAACAACGUACCUUUGGCAAAGGGAAUGUGAGACUUCUUUGCCAAAAUUUAUAGGCCUUUCUCGCUCAUGUGGCCUAGCCUCUUAUGCCACAAGUCUAGAGAUAAGUCCUCCACAGCAUUCAACUCAUCUUUCAAAACCUUGGCAUUUGACCGGUACAACGUACAACAAAGUCGUGCUCUUGCUACCACCAUUAAGCCUUUAGUAAGCUUCAAUUUUCCUUCGCCAAUAUGGUGAUAAUAACCUUGUUGAUCAAGGGUACCGAUGGAUAUCAGAUUGAGACGUAUAUCAAGAAUAUGUCUCACAUCUUUCAACAUCAACUGGCAACCGAGAGUAGUUCUUAGGCAAAUAUCACCAAUUCCAAGAAUUUUGGAAUAGCUUUCAUUCCCCAUCUUCACUAUGCCAAAGUCACCUUCUUUGUAUGUACUAAAGAACUCCCGUUUGGACGUAGCAUGGAAGGAAGCUCCAUUGUCAAAGAUCCAUUCAAUGUCUCCGUCAAAGUUGCCCAUAUGCAGGCAUUCACCAACAGACAAUAUUUCUGGUACAUCACCACAUAUGACAGCAGUGGUAUUGCCAGUAUCAUCUUUUUUCUCAUUGUUUCCUUCCUUUUGCUCUCUCUUCCAAACUCGACAGUUUUCUUCAUAUGGCCUUCUUUGCCACAAUGGUGGCAUGCACCCCUGAACCUUGACUUGGAUCAGCUAUGACUCUUGCCAUAACCUCUAGGCCCUCUGCUCUUGCUUCUUCCGCGGUUCUCUGUGACAAAUACUUGGCUACUAUCUAUGCCAGAAGUCUUUCUCCUUGUUUCUACAUUGAGCAUGCUAUUUUUAACAUUAUCAAGAGUAAGAACACCAUUAGAAGCAGAGUUACUUACACUCACCAUAAAGGUCUCCCAACUGUUUGGCAAGGAUCCAAGUAGCAAUAACGCUUGUAGCUCGUCCUCAAUCGUCAUUUUCAUAGUAGCCAAUUGGUUGAUGAUAUUUUGGAAAUUGUUCAAGUGUUUUGCUACACUUAAACCAUCCUUGUACUUCACAUUGAUGAGCUCUUUGAUCAAGAAGGCUUUUUGGGCUUCUUCUCGAACAAAGACUCAAGUUUCGUCCAAAACUCGCGAGCAUUGGUUUCAUUAGACACAUGGUGAAAAACACUAUCAUCCACCCAUUGUCUAAUUGUGCCAAUAGCCUUACGAUUCAUUCUACACUCCUCAGAAGUGUUUCCUAAUAUAGAAAAUUUAGAGUGUAGAAUGAGAUUUUUGGAGUACUAAUAACAAUUCCCUAUAUAUAUAUGGGAGAUUAUAUUCACACACCCCAAAUUACUUCCACACCCUUUUAAUUUUUUAAUAUUUUUCUAUCAAGUGUUAAUGGUGUGUAGAAAAUAUUAAAAAAUUUAAAAGGUGUGGGAGAAGUAAUUUGGGGUGUGUGAAAAUAAUCUCUCUCUAUAUAUAUAUUUCACAUUUUUGGGUGUUGGGUUCCAAUAAAAAAUUUUUUUUUAAUGAGAUCUUAUAUUUAUAUAUCUACUUAUUCGAGUAGAAUUUCAUUUACGUAUGAUGAAAAUAUAAAAUGGGAUGUAAAUAUAGUUUUUACAUCUCAAAUAUACAUCUUCCAAUUGCAAACAAUCUUAUGAAUUAAGGAUAUCUCAACCAUAAACUAGACUUGUAAGUUGAGCCGGGCUGACAUAAACUUACAUUCGUGGUCUACCAAUCAAAAUGUCAUGCUUAUACACAUAUAUCUUGAGAUAAUUUAAAAUGCAUGUAAUUAUGUUUAACCAAAUGACUUCUAGGCAGGUAUAUUCAUAAACUUUCUACCUAAAACGAUCUUUGACUAAAAGAAUACCACUAUUAGAACCUGAUGCUAACUCAAAUAAGAUCCUUCUAGGCUUCUAGCUACUAUAUGCAAGUAUUGAUGAUCUCACCAAAAAUUUGUGCAAAUUUCAGAAAGCUAAUUCUCAACUUAGAAAAUGAAACGAAUUAACUAUCAAUAUCAUCAUUUCUUCUCUCUCAACAAGAUCUUGUAUUAGUGGCGGGCCCACAAUAACCUAUUUCAUCUUUUUUUCUCUCCCAAAACAGAGUUCUUUCACCGGUUUUCAUCUCUCUAUCUCUUAUCUCCCUUUCUAGUUAAAAGAUCAACCAUAAAAACCACAAACAAAAUCUGAACAAAAAGAAAGCUAUAAUUUUUUUCUACUUGGAUGAAAAUAAAAGCGUGAAAAAUAUAACCAAAAAAAGAAAAACAAGAGAGAGAUAAUUGAUUAAAGAGGUGUACAGACCAGGAUCACGGACUGUUGCAUGAACCAUAUGGCCUUUCUCCAGGAGGGUCUUCACCAGCCAAGACCCUAUAAAACCAGUAGCUCCGGUAACACAGUAUGUUGCCAUAGCUCCCUUUCUUUUGCUCUCCACCGCAGGCUGCUAUAUAUACACACACACACACGCACAUAUACAUUGAAUUAAUCUUAGUAUUGGAUGUUGUAAUCAUGUGGCUAAUAUAAUAUCAUAUCCCUAAAUUAGUAUAAUAAUCAUGUAGCUAAAAUAAUAUAAUAUUGGAUGUUGUAAACGUGUAAUCAUGUAGCUAAUAUAAUCGACAAAGCCUGUGAGGAUAGUAAUUAAUAAAUAAAUUUUAAAUUUUUUGGGAGGCAAAUAUUUCCACGCCUGGUCUAUAUCAUAUUUAUGGAAAUUACACCAAUUACAAAUGUACUACUGUCGAGACCAGAAAUGGCGAGGAGACUAUUUUAAAGUGAAUUUUUUUAGAGAUUUUUUGUUACUUUCCAGUGUAACGUCAAUUUUUAUGCUAAUAUUAUAAAAUAUUAUUAAAAUUUUGAGAUAACAGAGAGUUCAUAAAGAAUCUUACUUUUAAGAAAGUUUCAUUAGCAACUCUCUUGUGGAGAUAUAAGAAUAAUGAGAGUGUUGUCAAUGCAUGCAUGGUUGCCAAAUGUUAAAUCAUCCAUGUGAUGUGAAUGGUACACGCUUCCAGAUUCAUACAAUUGUGAUAACAUAUAACCAAAAUGGAAAAGAAAAGUAUUUUACGUUAUCCAUAUUUAAUUUUGUCCAACAUAUGAUGCAGACUUGCGUGUGAUCAUUGAUCAACAAGAAGUCCGAACUUGGGACUUGUCUUUUUUUGUGUAUUUUUAGCGAAUAAUUUGUGGUGCGCAUCGUUUAUCAUCAAGUCUCGUGCUUGGAAGAUGAGAGAAAUGAAUGAGAAUGACUAUUAAUUCUAUUUUUUUUUAGUUUUGAGGGAUCGUCUUGAUUAAUAUUCAUCGGGAGAUGAAAGAAAUGGAUGAGAAAGACUAUUAAUUGUAUUUUUUAAAUUUCGAGGGAACAUCUUGAUUAAUAUUUUCGAAUUUUGUGCGAACGUCUAGAGCCGAUGUGAUUUGCACAUGCAAAGAGGUUACGGGAUCAUGGCCAAAGAAAUGGUUUUGUUUAGUCAAUGAAUUGCAAUAUUACGAACAAUUUAUUUAAUUGUUAUAGUUGAUUGAUUAAACGAUUUUCAUUUUAAUAAAAAUUUUGCUUAGAUGAUUUUUAUUGAGUGAGCUAUAAUAACACAUGAACAAUAUAACAUACAAUUUUUAUGAAUAGUACUUUGAAAUGACCACAUGGACGUUCUUUUCUUUUUAGAUGAUUGGAACUCAGUGAGAGGCUAGGUUAUCAUGCAUGUAGUUCAAAAACAAAAGAAGACUGAGGAAUAUAAUAUCGGAAAGGGAUCCACUUCGGAACCCUUUCCACCUAAUCCACUAAGUUUGUGAUCCAGACCGUUGAAAUUUGAUCCAAAGCUUAUAAAUAGGAGGUCUCUUUAAAAGUUAUAAUAAUUAUAACCGUUGGAUUAAAUUUCAACUACCCGAAUUCCGAACUUGAUGGAUUAGGUGGAUCCCUUUCCUAUAAUAUCAACCUCCGUCUUGGGAAAUAAAAAGUUAAAAUGAAGAUAGUCAAUCAAUACUUAAAAAUAAAAGUGAAGAUAAUUCUCCAAAAGCAAAUCAGAAAAAUGAUCCUUCUAAGCAAAUUUCUUUGAUAGAGUAUAUUCAAGAUGUCUCAUGAAGAAAAUAUUGUUUGCUUAAGAUCUCUACGAGCUGAUUGUACCAAUGUUCAAGUUUGGUUUAUUAUCGAACCGAACAUAGGCAAGUCGAGCUUCUACGAGUUGUACUCUAUGCAAGUUCAACUUGUUUCGUGCCAAUUUACAAAUUUCCGUUAUAACUUUCUCAUUUCUUAACAUCUUUAAGUGCUUCAAAAUCUCAAAAUGAAUUAUUUUGUGUAUGAAGAUAGUAAAAUUGGUUCGUCAUAUGAACACGAAUUCACAAUAUGCAAAGUUCGUGCUUUCAUACAUUUUAGGUUUUCAACAAUUUUUUCAAUUUGAUUCAAUCUUAAGACAAACAAGUUUAAGAGAAUUUCCAUGCACUUACUCCGAAUGUUAUGAAGUGAUAAGGGAAGAUAACUCACAAAAUUGAAGGUACGUUUGAAGGAAGAAAUAAAGGUCAAAUUCCAAAUUUUUUUUCAAAUUGAAGGAAUUGGAUGGAUAAGUUACGAACAAAACUUCUCUUCCAAACGUAAUCCAUCUUCUACCUUCAGCUACACUAAAUUUGGAAGUUACGUUCUUUCGACAACAUCGAAUCCGGUGAGUUAGCCAAUUCUACAAUCCUAAGCACCAAACGCAUAGUGUUGAAGAAAAAUCCCAUGCUCAGUAAAAUGCAAACUAAAUAAAAGAUAACUAGCAUGUUUUGGAGGACGACCAACAUUCUAAUUUCUCAUUCAACCAACGCAAAUAAACAAAAUUAUAUAACUCAGUUGUAAGUGCAAUACUGGAGAGCACAAGAAGUUAUUGAAUUAAUACAAACUUACAAAAUGAUAUUAAUACAUCUGGAGUUUCUAAGCUACAGCCGCGUUCAGGUAAGAAUUUGAUCCUUAUGCAGCAGUGACGGCUUCUUCAGUUUUCUUUUUUUCUUCCUUCAAUUUCUUCCAGUUCUCUGCAUUGUCUAUUAUUUCACCAGUUUUGAUGAGGUAGCGAACUCGUUGUCCAUUUUCCAGGAUUUUAUGACCCACCCGACUUGCUACAUUCUUUUCUUUCGAGAAAAGCAUCACAUUCGAGCUGUGUAUGGCUCCUUCUACCUGGAAUAUGAAGUUUAAAAUGUUUAUUUGUAAUCAAAUGAAACUAGCAAGCAAGGAAACAAAAGAACUAAUAAGUUGAUGAUUACAAAUUUUACAAGAAAAAGAACCUUAAGUAUCUGUCCUGGUUCACCCUCUUCCCUGCUCUUCAUAUGCUUUGUCUUCAAGUUUAUCUCCUUGACUAUCACGGUGCUGUUGUGCUUAAAGAUCUUUGUCACCUCUCCAGUUUUACCCUUGUCAUGUCCAGAUAUGACUUUCACUGUGUCCCCAACCUUAACAUGCAUUUUGUGUAAAACUGGAAGGCUGUUUGGCUUGCAUUCCUUCCGCUCCCAUCUUUUGAGCUGCCAGAGGACGAAAAGAGCAAUAUUUCAGGAGGUGAACAGCCCUAAUGUGCUACAUCAUAUCCCAUUUAGCAAAAUAGUGUUUUAAAAAGAAAAAGAUACUAAAUUAUGUAAACCAGACAUUGAAAUAACGUUUUCUUGGUUUAGCCAGGAAAUCAAGAUAAAAGACUCUCCACCCCAAUCGUGAAUAAGUUGCAAUCAAAUGCCUUCUUUGUGACUAUUGUAAGUCCCACUUAGUGGUGCAUGUCCGCGGAAAUUAUGAGUCAAAUUACAUGCUCAAAGAUUGCUUUCAUAUUAUUCUAGUAAGUUAGCAAUUCCACCAUACAUGCAUCAGAUUUUGAUUGUAUACAACAGAAAAAACUUAUUGACAAAAAUAAAGAAAAGAUAGAUAGGACUUAUGAUACUGACCUUCACUACAAUGAGACAAGGCUUUGCUGUUAAUUUGGGCUGCACAUGAAACAAGCAGAUAAAUUGUUACGAAAUGAUUCUCCUUUUUCCUCCCAGUGAUCAGAGUAAUUCAAACUCAAAGCUACAAUGUGAAUGGUAUAAAAACCAUUCCCAUUACCUUGACGGUAUAAAAUUUUGUUUCUUUGAGAUGACAAGAAAGAACAAAACAUAAGAGAAAACCCAUGCAGAAAUAUGGCCUUGAAAAACAUAUCAGAUUCUUUUUAAGAAACUUACUAGUAAAAUUCAACAUGACACGUUUGGUGAAUCCCAUCUCCUGAAGGCGUUAACUCAAAAAAUAUGAAAAGAAAUGAAAUAAUUCUAAUAGAAUGAACCGAUAUGUGUGUCACGAUCAGUAUGUAGGAUACAGAAAGCCUGUUCAUGACUAUGUAAACUGAAAGCUCACUCCAGCUAAACAUUAUGUCAACGAAGUAUAAAGCAUAAACAUUGUCAUCCACUAAUAUAGGGCCACUUAUAAACCCGGAAAACCAAAUCUUUGAUUAGGGAAGUAUAAAGCUCACUCUUACCGGAAACCUUCGUCAACCACUAAAACCUCUCAGUCAAUUCCUGCAUCUGGUUUUAUUCACUUUCAACGAAAUAAUUCAACUUUACAAUACCCACUUGGAGAAUUUUGAACAGAGAAUCCAACACUGUCAGAACCGUAACCAGAGAUGCAGUUUCUUCAAAAUUGUACAUAAACACAUUAAAAAUUAUCCAUUUCCUUUUCAUUUCUCAUAUUCUUAGAAACCCAACUUUUACAUAUUAACAAAGGAAUUCAAUUUCACAAAGAAAAGUAAAAUCACAUCAAUCUGCAGAAACCACUGGAACAAAGAGAGAGUGUUCAUUUUAGGCAAGACCCACUUCAGUGCUACAAGCAAAGAACUGAAAUGCAGCAAAAUACUAAUACAUGUGUAAAUAUAUAUGUACAUGUAUAUAUCAUUAUAUUUGACAUAAGAAUUGGAGGAGAAAAGGAAAGCGUACCGGGACAGAGUACAGGGUUGGGGGAAAGAGGCGUUGGCCGAGGAAGGAGUUAGAGGAGAGAGAAAGAGAGGUCAUGGAGCUCUGAAGUGCAGCCAUGGCUGCCAUUUUCUCGUUGCUUGGCUCUGAAUGUGACAGAAAUGGAUAAUACAGAGAAGCAGUAGCUUAAGAGAGAGAGAGAGAGUAGCAGGUCUUUGUACUCAAAGAUGGGCUUCGAGAUGGGCUGACAUUAGCAUAAGCUAAAGCCCAGCCCAAAUCGUAUGAUGGGACUAGUGUCUUGACUGCUGUUUGGUUACGACUCUGAUUGGAUUCGAAAACGUCGUUUCGUCUUUAAGAUUGGAUUUGAAUAGAUGACAUUAAUUUCAUUUUGGAAAACCAAGUGCUUUUGGAAACCAAAUAUAUUUUCUCUAAAAACACUUUCAGUCAUUCAAAAGCACUUUUCGAACUAAGACAGAAAAUGGGGAGUGCAAGAUCAUUUCCCUAUCACAGCACGAUCAUUGGUUGCUCGAUGCAGAGAGCACAGCAUUGCAUUGGUGAUGUUCCCUACCUUGUUUUUUUUGUUGGUGAAAGGUUUGCUUCCAAUGUAAGACGCAAAAGUUGUAAAUUAUGCAACACUGCAAAUAAUUGGGAAAUAAGUUCAAAAGGGGGUCAACUUUUCCUUCAUCUCCAUUGCUAAAUAUGGUAUAUAAAUCUAGAAAUCUGUCAUCUGAGCAAAACAGGGAGGAAGAAUGAGAAAACGAUAUGUUACAUGGUCGAAUAUUUAACCGAAAAUCCUGUGUCACUCGACCAGAAAUCUUAACUACUCGAAAUCCACUAAUUCUAGCCCACAGACUGCACAUGUAUCAAAAAAAGCAAAGUCGAAAACCCAAGAAAUAAGAAAGAAAAAACGAAAAAAUGGGGAAGCCACCGUCUAUACUUCAUAGGUAUCGGCUAGGCUGUCUACAGACUCUUCUCUUUGGUGUUCGGCCAUUUGGAUUCUGGUUUCUGGUUGGUUCGUGUCAGUUGUGCCUUCAUCUGUUACCGCUGACAAGGAUUUCGUGUGAUUCUUGUUGUGCCUCAUUUUGAGCAUCCGUGAUAGCACUUGUACAAUGUCUCUCAUGGCAGGCCGUUUCUUUGGGGUACGGUUGACACAUUUAUAUGCCAGAGCUGCCACUUCGUUAAGCUCUUGCACAUGGAAAGUCCCAUUAAGACGUGAAUCCACAAUUUCUUCCCACCCAAGUUUCCCCUCUGUAUUCAUCGCUGCCUAUUUUUCAACCAGAAAUAUCAUUAGAUGUGCAAAAUAAACAGCAUUAUUGGGAUAUAAGUGGAAGAGUGCAUCUGCAAAAAGAAAAAGUAAAUGAUAGACUUCCCUUUCAUUUUUCUUCUAAGGCUGGAGCGAGGAAAAAGUGAGAGCAAACACACAGACAAACAAACACAUCGUAUCCGUUUUCAUGUACUCUACUAUUUUCCUAGGUUAUCCAUAUUAUCACAGGGUCAAAUUACUUCAAUAUUGGAAUUCCAUAUGUUCCUGUUUCUUCUAGAUAACCUCUGUGUGUGAGUGUGCAUGAGACGUGCGCAUAUGCAGUGUGUGUGUACGUGUGUGUGUGUGUGUGUGUGUGUGUGUGUGAGAGAGAGAGAGAGAGAGAGAGAUCUUACAAGUUCAACAUAUUCCAUUAAACCCUGUUGAGGAUUCCUUGCAGCAACGAGCUCAAAGAGCAGAACUCCGUAGCUGUAAACGUCACUUUUCUUGGUGAAGUUCCUCGUAGAUAUAUAUUCAGGAUCAAGAUAACCAAAA